AUUGAACGCUGGCGGCAUGCUUUACACAUGCAAGUCGAACGGUAACAGGCCGCAAGGUGCUGACGAGUGGCGAACGGGUGAGUAAUGCAUCGGAACGUGCCCAGUCGUGGGGGAUAACGCAGCGAAAGCUGCGCUAAUACCGCAUACGAUCUAUGGAUGAAAGCGGGGGACCGUAAGGCCUCGCGCGAUUGGAGCGGGCGAUGUCAGAUUAGGUAGUUGGUGGGGUAAAGGCUCACCAAGCCAACGAUAUGUAGCUGGUCUGAGAGGACGACCGGCCACACUGGGACUGAGACACGGACCAGACUCCUACGGGAGGCAGCAGUGGGGAAUUUUGGACAAUGGGCGCAAGCCUGAUCCAGCAAUGCCGCGUGCAGGAAGAAGGCCUUCGGGUUGUAAACUGCUUUUGUACGGAACGAAACGGUCCUGGUUAAUACCUGGGGCUAAUGACGGUACCGUAAGAAUAAGCACCGGCUAACUACGUGCCAGCAGCCGCAGUAAGAC
rnacentral:rRNA from 1 species